rnacentral:lncRNA from 1 species
CUAAAAAUGUCAGCCUUUAGAGUGAAUUUUGUCUCCUUGCUGCUCAGUUUCUCCAAACUUUAGCCGGGUAAUGAUUUUUGGAAGGUAGACUGCUGUGUUUGGGCCAGAGGGGUGCGAGGGAGAUCAGGAGGUGCAUCAUAGGAGGUUUGUUCGCUCUCUGCCUCAAGGAUGAAGUCUGUCAGAUGGAGGACCACUGUGCCAAGCGAGGGCGAAGGCUCGAGUGUGGAGGAG